rnacentral:tRNA from 1 species
GGAGUCGUAGCUCAAUUAGGCAGAGCACUGGCCUGUCUAGCCAGGGGUUGCGGGUUCAAGGCCCGUCGACUUCGCCA